rnacentral:rRNA from 1 species
UUUUGGGGGAAUUUUCCGCAAUGGGCGAAAGCCUGACGGAGCAAUACCGCGUGAGGGAGGAAGGCUCUUGGGUUGUAAACCUCUUUUCUCAAGGAAGAACAUAAUGACGGUACUUGAGGAAUAAGCAUCGGCUAACUCCGUGCCAGCAGCCGCGGUAAUACGGAGGAUGCAAGCGUUAUCCGGAAUGAUUGGGCGUAAAGCGUCCGCAGGUGGCUGUGUAAGUCUGCUGUUAAAUAGUGAGGCUCAACCUCAUAAAGGCAGUGGAAACUACAUGGCUAGAGUGCGUUCGGGGCAGAGGGAAUUCCUGGUGUAGCGGUGAAAUGCGUAGAGAUCAGGAAGAACACCGGUGGCGAAAGCGCUCUGCUAGGCCGCAACUGACACCGAGGACGAAAGGCAG